rnacentral:rRNA from 1 species
GACGACCGCUGGCGGCGUGCCUAAUACAUGCAAGUCGAACGCAGUGGGGACGGGGGAGUAACACGUGGGUAACCUCCCAUCAGAGGGGAUAACACUAGGAAACAGGUGCUAAACCGAUACUGAUGGAUGGACCCGCGGUGCAUUAGCUAGUUGUUGAGGUAACGGCUCAACAAGGCCACGCUGCAUAGCCGACCUGAGAGGGUGCUCGACCCACCUGGUACUAAGACACGGCCCAGACUCCUACGAGAGGCAGCAGUUGGGAAUCUUCGGCAAUGGCCGAAAGUCUAACCGAACAACGCCACGUGAGUGAAGAAGGUUUUCGGAUCGUAAACCUCUGUUGUUAGAGAAUCGGUAUCUAACCAGAAACCCACGGCUAACUACGUGCCAGCCGCCGCGGUAAUAC